rnacentral:rRNA from 1 species
AAGCGAGCGGCGGAUGGGUGAGUAACACGUGGGGAACCUGCCCCUAAGUCUGGGAUACCAUUUGGAAACAGGUGCUAAUACCGGAUAAUAAAGCAGAUCGCAUGAUCAGCUUUUGAAAGGCGGCGUAAGCUGUCGCUAAGGGAUGGCCCCGCGGUGCAUUAGCUAGUUGGUAAGGUAACGGCUUACCAAGGCGACGAUGCAUAGCCGAGUUGAGAGACUGAUCGGCCACAUUGGGACUGAAACACGGCCCAAACUCCUACGGGAGGCAGCAGUAGGGAAUCUUCCACAAUGGACGCAAGUCUGAUGGAGCAACGCCGCGUGAGUGAAGAAGGUUUUCGGAUCGUAAAGCUCUGUUGUUGGUGAAGAAGGAUAGAGGUAGUAACUGGCCUUUAUUUGACGGUAAUCAACCAGAAAGUCACGGCUAACUACGUGCCAGCAGCCGCGGUAAUACGUAGGUGGCAAGCGUUGUCCGGAUUUAUUGGGCGUAAAGCGAGCGCAGGCGGAAAAAUAAGUCUAAUGUGAAAGCCCUCGGCUUAACCGAGGAACUGCAUCGGAAACUGUUUUUCUUGAGUGCAGAACAGGAGAGUGGAACUCCAUGUGUACCGGUGGAAUGCGUAGAUAUAUGGAAGAACACCAGUGGCGAACGCGGCUCUCUGGUCUGCAACUGACGCUGAGGCUCGAAAGCAUGGGUAGCGAACAG